CUUCCAUCUACACACGAUGUCGGUUUCGCUGUGAACGAAGGUGUUCAUAUUAUGCACUAUGAAGCUUCAAAUAACAAAUGACAAUUAAAAAGGGAUUCUGGAUGGAUAUUAUUCCUGGGAAUUAUGUAAAGGCAGUUUUUGACUUUGAAACAAGUCAGGCGGGUGAGAUCUGUAUCAAAACAGGGCAGAUAAUUCUAGUAACUAAUGUUGUUGAUGAUAACUGGGUUUGUGGAAAACUAGAUGGCAAAGAAGGAAGCUUUCCCACAAAUUUUGUAGAAAAAAUUAAUGUUCCCCAAAUUAAAAGUGGUCAGAAAUUGUUUCUUUCCAUAGAAACCUUCACAUCAUCUGAAGAUGGUGACUUAAACUUUAAAAAAGGACAGAUAAUCCUAGGAUUAAAUGCAGUGGAUGAAAAUUGGUGGAAGGGGUCUUUGGACAAUAAGACAGGAAUUUUCCCCAAAACCUUUGUUAAAGAUUUACCGUUUUUACCUAGUGAACAAAAUGGUAGUUCAGUAUCUAAUUACCAUGAUCUUACAUACAGUAAACCAAAAUCUGAUAGUUCUGCUCAUUCACAAGUGCCUUUCACAGUUACAGCUUUAGUUGAUGUUACACCUCAAUUAGAUGGUGAAUUGGGUUUUAAAGCUGGUGAUGUAGUGACAGUUGUAGAGUUUGUUGAUGAUGAUUGGUUCAAAGGUCAGUUAAGUGGAAAAGAGGGUCUUGUUAUGUCAAUCUGUGUUGAUUUACCACAUAAUUUCAAAUCAUCUUCUAAAACAAAUACCCUGUAUUCUUAUCUUACUACAGAUACUGAGCCAUACACUGAAGCUUAUACCAAAAAAUACACUGAGUCUUAUACCCAGAAAUCUAAUACCCAACUAUAUAAACCAAAUACAGAAUCACAUGAUAAGCCUUAUAUCAAACCUAGUAUGGAGCUUCCACGUACUGCCGAUUGUUAUGGAUAUGCCCUCGAUUCCAACGAUAAUGUUUAUGCUCAAUUAGAUGCUUAUAUUGAAACUGAUGGUAAAGCUGGACUUUAUUCUUACACAAGCGAAAAUACGCGAUCUGCAGACGUUGUUAUUACACCUUAUGCUAGAGUUCUAUAUCCUUUCCUGUCUCAAUCUAAAGAAGAGUUGUCCAUCAAUGAAAAUGACAUUGUUAUGCUAAUACAACAUGUUGAUCCUGAUUGGAUAGAAGGAGAAAUUGAUGGUAGAUUUGGACUAUUUCCAACUACUUAUGUAGAAAUUAUUGUGGACUGUCCGUACGCUUAUUAUCAAAAUGAUGUUCAGAAGACAAAAGAACAAAGCGAAACUGAAAGUAAAAAUAGUUCAACUAAUUCUGUCAAAAAUGAAUCAAUUGAAGAAUUAAAUGUGCCCUGUGCUAAUGUUGAAGAAGCUAAAGAGCACAUACAAAUGAUGUCAGGUCAAAGAGAAAGUGAAAAUCAGUUGCAAAACGUUGGGGAGACAAUCACAGUGUUAAAGAGGUAUGAAGAUAAUUCGCUGGAAGCUAAAGGUAAAAAUGGUAAUAUAGGCAUGGUACCUUCUAACAGUUUAGACUCAAAUAAAAAAUCUUCACCUUGUGCAAUAAAUUAUAGACAUAGUGAUACUAUUAAUAAUAAUCGAAAAAAUAUUUUUGAAGACUGUUCUAAUAGCAAGUCUAGUUUAAUUGCUGAAGAAACAGACACAAAAUGUUCUGUGGAAAUUGUAAAACUUGAUGCCAUUCAUACUGAAUCAUUGAAUGCUGAUGAUACAUCUGUUCAUACAGAAACCUCAAUUGCGAGUCUGACUAGUUCAUCCACUGUGAAAUAUACUGAUACAUCAACUGAUUCAUCAAAGCACCCUACACUAAUCCCUCCUGCAAAACCCAAAUUAGCUCCAAAACCAGUUGUUAAGCCCAUACUUGUACUAACAUGUAAACCCAAUUAUUCUCCCACCCAGAAAGUCUUUCCUAAAAUCAAAACCAGUAUGUCAUUGGAUUCCAUUAUAACUGACGAACUUAAUAAGGCUAAGGGUGAUCUUAAAAGGAAACCAGCAGAAGCUAAUGAAUCAAACACUGAAAUGAAUCGUUCACUAACCAUACCUAACAAUACACCACCAGAGUUUCAACCUCCUCCGAUCACUGGGAUUCGAGAGGAGUCGACGAGACUCAUUAAACCUUUACAAACAGAACAAACUUCACAGUGCAAUAACUUUUCUGAAAGGUUUUCUUUAAAUCAGGAAGAAAUUAAUGUCUUCAUGAGUCCAUCGAAAUCAGAACCUGUUGGCUCGAAACCACCAUGUCCCACAUCUGUAAGGUUUGGCCUAUCUAGUUUUUAUGUAAAUGAUGCGUUUAUGACUGAAAAUAACACAACUGACAAAAUUAGAAACAAUUUUAAUAGACCUAAAUCUAGAUCUUUAAAAAAUGUGUCUACAAAAAAUCCCCCGCGACCUAAUGGACCUUUGAAACCUAAUAUGAAGCCAAGACCCCUGCCUUCCCGUCCCGCACCUAUCGCUCCUGGCCGACGUAUAACGCCAACACGACCAGCUCCUCCUAGACCAACUGGUUCCAUGCGACAUAAGAAACAGAUGCCUUUGUCUCAAUCCAAUUUACCAACUACUGACCUUAUGACCUUCAGCCCAGAAGAAGAAGCAGAAGAUGCAGCAAAUGCUGAGGUUGUUAUUGAAUUAAAACGACGGAUAUCUGAAAUCAUUGUUGACUUAAAGAAAUAUGAGAAAUCUAAAGAAAAUGUUGUGACCUUGCUAAAGACUGUAAAUGCAGAGAUAAAAGAAGAAGUAAAAGAAAGUUUAGGAUUUUAUGAAGCCAACAUUACAGGAUUGUCAGUAGAACUUUGUCAAUUAAAAGAAAAUCUUUAUGAACUGAGCCCAAAAGCACGGAAAGCUGCCAAUAACAUGGACGAGACUGAAAGAAGAAAGGAGGAAGAUAGGAAAAGAAAAAUAGAAGAAAGAAUUAAAAUGGAGAAAGAAAAAGACAAGAGAGAGAAAAUUAUAGAAGAAAUAAUAGAGACAGAAAGUGUAUUUUUACAAUAUUUACACCUGUGUAUGGAUAUGUUUCUUUCUCCAAGUGCAGAAAAGAUGAUGGGGAUUGAUUAUGGUCGUUUAUUUGGUAAUAUGGAAGAAAUAGCUGAUGUAUCACAGUGUUUUUUAAAUAGUCUAGAAACAGCAGUAUUAGGAAAACGUUUUGACGAACAAAUUGUUGGAACAAGUUUUGUAAAAUAUGCUGAAGAUAUGAAGAAUACAUAUGCACCAUAUUGUAGAAAUCAUGAUGAAGUUAUCACCAUAUUAGAAAAGUAUAAUGCAAUACCAGAAAUAAAAGAAUAUUUUCAGAAAAUAAUUACAAAAAUGAAAGAGAAGUGUAAUGUAUUUGAUCUAGAUGCUUUACUUAUUAAACCUAUACAAAGAAUACUCAAAUACCCUUUACUACUUGGUGAGCUAUUGAGGAAUACAGAUGAUGAUCAUAUUGAUAAACUAGAAGUAGUAAAAGCUAUCAAUGCCAUGACAGAUGUAGCAAAAGCUAUUAAUGAAUAUAAACGCAGAAAAGAUUUAGUGUACAAGUAUAAGAAAGAAUCAGAUGCCAGUCUUGGUGAUAAAAUCUCUAAGAUUAAUAUUCAUACUUUAAAAAAGAAAUCGGGUAGAAUAAGAGGCAGAUUAUCUAAUACAAUGGGCAUUAGUUUACAGACAAAAGAUGAACAGUUUGAAAGAGAAGAAAUGAAGUUUCAUUGUUUAGAGAAAGCUGUUAAAGUAUUUGUUAAAGAUGUACAGACCUAUAUAGAUAAUGUACAGCGUGCUGUGGUCUAUUCAAUCCGAAGAUUACCAUAAACACGAGAAAAAACAGGCAGCACUGAGAGCCAUUGCACAGGAGAUGGGGAAAAAUUGGACAGAACAACAAGUUAAUAAGAAAAUUGGGCUACUCAGAUCUUAUUAUAAUAAAGAGUUGGUCAAGGUGAAGAAGGUUGUCAGUGGUCAAUCUACUUCCAGUGUUUACAAGAGUACAUGGCGGUACUUUGACCUUUUGGAUUCAACUGAAGCGGAUUGUGAUGUUGCCAUUUCUCUUCCUCCAGAAGGAGAUAUUUUACAGCUUCACUCUCAGUGCUCUCAGCACCAAUUAGCUGAAGUCACUCCUGAAAAGGACAGUGAAAUCUCAACAUCACUGUGUUCCAAAAAAAGAAAUACAGAUGACCUGACAGCAUCUGCUGUUAUGUUUUUAAAGACAUUGGCAGAGAAAAAAAGAGAACAAACAUGAAAACUCAGCUUUUAGCAGUUAUAUUUGUGAGAAGUUGACACUUAUUACAAAUCCAAGAAAACGUGCAAAACUGGAAUUAGACAUCCAUACGCUGAUAAACACUGCUUUAAUAAACCAAUAUGAAAAUGAAGAACUGAUCAAUUUUUAGGUCAAAUACAUGUUCAUUGUAAUUUGAACAACUGAUGAUGAACAACUGACCAAUUUAAGGACCCCUUGCAUUGUAUUUAUUUAUAAAUUACUUAUAAAUUAUUUAUUUAUGUACAUAUGCAAUUAAAUUUAUUCGAUUACUAUAACUUUGGUUGUAAGUGUACAAACUUUUAUGCCAUAGGCCAUUGCCCUGCUCAAUCUAUAAUUGAAAAUUCUUUUUUCAAUAAUAAGUCCCCUCAUGGGAAAAGGUUUCAUUGGAUUGGUUUUCAGAGCAAAAGCAUCAUCUCCAACAAUAACACAUGGUACUGGUGUUUCUCUACCUGGUAGAACUUUGAGAGGAGGGAGGUUGAAAGUGUUCUCUUCUAAAGCUGAUGAAA